rnacentral:rRNA from 1 species
UGGGGAAUAUUGGACAAUGGGCGCAAGCCUGAUCCAGCAAUUCCGCGUGGGUGAAGAAGGUCUUCGGAUUGUAAAGCCCUUUCGACGGGGACGAUGAUGACGGUACCCGUAGAAGAAGCCCCGGCUAACUUCGUGCCAGCAGCCGCGGUAAUACGAAGGGGGCUAGCGUUGCUCGGAAUGACUGGGCGUAAAGGGCGCGUAGGCGGCACACAUAGUCAGGCGUGAAAUUCCUGGGCUUAACCUGGGGGCUGCGUUUGAUACAUGUGAGCUAGAGGAUGGAAGAGGCUCGUGGAAUUCCCAGUGUAGAGGUGAAAUUCGUAGAUAUUGGGAAGAACACCGGUGGCGAAGGCGGCGAGCUGGUCCAUUACUGACGCUGAGGCGCGAAAGCGUGGGGAGCAAACA